AAAUUGAAGAGUUUGAUCAUGGCUCAGAUUGAACGCUGGCGGCAGGCCUAACACAUGCAAGUCGAACGGUAACAGGAAGCAGCUUGCUGCUUUGCUGACGAGUGGCGGACGGGUGAGUAAUGUCUGGGAAACUGCCUGAUGGAGGGGGAUAACUACUGGAAACGGUGGCUAAUACCGCAUAACGUCGCAAGACCAAAGAGGGGGACCUUCGGGCCUCUUGCCAUCAGAUGUGCCCAGAUGGGAUUAGCUUGUUGGUGAGGUAACGGCUCACCAAGGCGACGAUCCCUAGCUGGUCUGAGAGGAUGACCAGCCACACUGGAACUGAGACACGGUCCAGACUCCUACGGGAGGCAGCAGUGGGGAAUAUUGCACAAUGGGCGCAAGCCUGAUGCAGCCAUGCCGCGUGUAUGAAGAAGGCCUUCGGGUUGUAAAGUACUUUCAGCGGGGAGGAAGGUGUUGUGGUUAAUAACCACAGCAAUUGACGUUACCCGCAGAAGAAGCACCGGCUAACUCCGUGCCAGCAGCCGCGGUAAUACGGAGGGUGCAAGCGUUAAUCGGAAUUACUGGGCGUAAAGCGCACGCAGGCGGUCUGUCAAGUCGGAUGUGAAAUCCCCGGGCUCAACCUGGGAACUGCAUUCGAAACUGGCAGGCUUGAGUCUUGUAGAGGGGGGUAGAAU
rnacentral:rRNA from 1 species